CUACCAAGAGGAUGAAGGCCAGUCCCACUGCCUUUCCCCUCCACUGGGAGCGCCUACCACCCCAGGCCUUGGAAAGCUACAUUUACAAAACUAUACACUCCCAUUCCACCACAACAAAGCUUUCUCAGAGCACACAACACAGCACUCUCUUCCCCAGUCCCUAGAAAAACAGCACUAGCAGGUCAGUGGCUCCUCCACAAAUGUGCCUCCUACAGCCCUGGGCUAGGAUGCCUCGGAUCCCCUGGUCCCCUCUGGGCACCCGAGUGCUCGGGUACGGAAGCAGAGGAGUCAAGCAAAGGGAGGCUGAACCCAGGGAAAUUUUCAAAAGCCUGGGAGAGUCCAGACUGCUAGUAACUAAACCUCACCCACUUACCACUCAAGUCCAGUAACACCACAGCCAGGUGGGCCACUUGAAGGGGUAAUUAAUAUCCAAGAUCAGUUUCAGACCAUCAUAAAAAUAUUAAAGUCAAAAGUGAAAAGCAAGGUCUAUGCUUGUGAGAAUUAUGAGAGUCAACCUGUAACCUUUUCUGACAGAGGAGGAAGUUCCUUAGCUUAAGAGCAGUCAUUUUGAGCCCUACCUGGUUUGGCUCAGUGCAUAGAGCACCGGCCCACAGACUGAAGGGCCCCAGGUUCAAUUCCAAUUGGGGGCACAUGCCUGGGUUGUAGGCUCCAUCUCCCCACGGGGGCGUGCAAGAGGCAGCCAAUCAAAGAUUCUCUCAGCUCUAUUCUAAGUUGCAUGACUUGCAAUUUCCCAGGAGGCCACCAUUUUCAGAUUCAGUUUCCUAAAUGUCAAAACUCCCUGCCCUCCUUUGAAUUAGCCAAUCGUGCCAAGAAAGUGAACCCAAGCCUUUAGCAAUCAGGGUGAGGGGCAGAUUGUGCCAUGGAUUAAAUCUGAGUGGGAAGUCUUUGCUUACCAGACUGUUGGUUGCACACCCUUCUGCAGAAGUAAAUAUAUAGCUUUGCUGUCUGACCCCCAAGUAUCCUUUGUGUUCUACCAGAACCCCUUAACUCUGAGGCUCGCUUUAUUUCUAACAUGCUAAAUGAAAAAAAUAAGGAGCUAAUGAAUAAAUAGUAUAAUUUAAAAGAAUAUAUCAGUAUGAAAAGGAUAAAGAGAGACCUAAAAUAUAAUAAUGAGAUUCUUUCUCAAUAACUUUAUAAAGCAGAAGAAAGUAAAUUCAAUAGCUUAGAAAUUGAGCUUUAUUACACAAGAAAUGCUCUCAAAGAAAGGACUUUGAUUUUAGAAGGUGUAAAAAGAGACUUAGGCCAAACACAGUGUCAAAAGACGGAAAAUAGAGUUGUUAGACAACUUCAAAGAGAACUGGCUGACACCAAAAAAAAAACUAUGACA